rnacentral:sRNA from 1 species
UCAUAAAUUCUUGAGAUUUAUGUAAAUGUGAUGAGUUCUAUUAGAUUAGCACUCGUUUGGGUGAUUAUUUUAUGGCCUGUUGUGGUUUUGAGAGUGAGAGCAUGGCUGGGUAUGCGUAUAGUUUCGACUGAUCCAAUGGAUACUAGUCGAUGAAUAUUGGCGUGUAUCCCCAUAACAAUGCAUUCCAAAAUCCAAAUCAAAAUCAAGGUAAUCACCGGCUCCAGCCCCCGCCAGACAAUCGAAUGGUGGCACGCCCAUGUGCAUCCGAUCCCACAUGCGAACGGGCUAUCAACAUAAAAAGCUCUAAUUACGGCCACUCAACCGCUGCAACAGUUUCAACCGUUAGUGGAAGUAGAACCUCUUGAAUGUAUUCGUAUUCCUAUUUGUAUUCGUUGGAGGCAGUGCGAAUUUCACAGAUGAAUAGAAUACGAACGGACGGACAGGAGGUUGCAUGCCUGAGAACUGAACAAAUGAACAACAAUUAGUGUAUCAUAACAAAGAGAACCAUAAUUAGAAUAUAGUAGGAGUAGCUAUCUGGACUGGCCCCGUCCAAUGCCAAUCUCUAUCUUUCUCCUGCAGUGUCAUUGGUUACGAUAUCGGAGAUUGAUGUGAUUGACGUGCAUGCCAUACACGGCCACUCGAUUGAUUCAUUGAGAUCAAUUGAGUCCAGAGACCAGAGUUGAGGACUCUUGAGGCUCCACUCCGAUGAUAAUGGAGGUUAAACCAAAUCGAAUCACUCGAUAAGGUCACUGCGUAGAAAUCUGGUUCCAGUUACGGAACGAUUCGGCUUACAGGAAUUGCCGAGAGUGCACAUUCAUGUUCAUUCACUCUUUCGGUACUCGUUCUAUACGUCAUACAAUAUACUCGUAUGUGGCCCGCUCUUCGACUUUAAAUUCGGAAUUUGGAAAAUAAAACCUAAAAGAAUGUAAACAAUACGAAAGCAAACGGGAAACACCGUAAUGAUAUGCAGAGACAAACGAAUUAAACGGUCUGGCUGUUCAUGUAAAUUACAUCGGCUUCGGGUGGCCCUCCUCGAACAGAACAGCGGAACAGAACCAGCAGAGCCAGCAGAACAGAGAGAAUGUAAUGGAAUGGAGGAAUGGAGGAAUGGAGGAAUGGAAGGAGACGAACAGAACAUAUGGCUCUCAAGUGUUCGCUGGGGAGCGUAAUCUCUAAUGUUUUGUUUGUCGCAUUCGUAAUGAGAAUCCUGAUCAAAGAGCAACGGAAGAAUAGAGUGUGGGAGUGCGAGUGCGAGUGUAGAGUACAUCGAAGCAUCAAAAUACAAUGUAGGAAUUCCUCUCUUAUUAUCUUUGGGAUCUGCCAUUAAAAAAUGAAUGAAAUGAUUGCUCGACAUAUAGUAAUCUAGUAAUUGAUUCAACUUCAAAUGACUCAACUCGGUGGUUGAUCUAUAAAUCACAUAAAUAUAUUCAACUUAAUCAUAUAAGUAGCAUUCAGAAAUAAAUUUGUUUAUUUGUGAGUGCGCAUUUUGACAUUCGGUAAACAGAAUCUCUUUUUUCAAAAGCUCAAUAAUUGUAUUUAAUUUUGUUUACCCUUUAUAAAAGGGUACUACAAUUU